GCGCCCUAAAGCUAUCUAAUUUCAACAGUUAAAAUAAGUAAUACCUAUCUUAGUAAUACAUAUUAAAACCAUCAAAAAUAAUUAAGCGGCCUUAUUACAUUUAAAAACCCAAAACUUCAAACGUAAAUAAAAGGAUGUCCAAUUCACUAGAAGAAAAUCAAACUUUCAGAACAGGUGGCCACUCCGAAUUCCCUCACAGCUCCAAGCCCACUAUGGUUGGGGAUUUCCUGCGUGGAUAAAAAUAAAAGGGGUGAGUUUGGGGAAACUCAGUGUGUAAGGAAAACCCAUUCAAAGCUCAAGUCAGCUCAAGCCUAUUGGGCCUAAGCCCAUUCAGGUAACAGUGGUACUGGACCAGAGCCCUUUUCAGAUUACAAUAAACUGGGCCUUAGCCCCUUAUUCAGAAAACAGUAUGGCCCAUAGGCCCAUUUCAAAAUACAUGCAACAUCAAUAACAUAUGGAAGCCCAUUUGGGGAGACUACUCAACCCACCAACCACUACACUCCAUCCGUACCAGCCAUACACUCCAUGUGGGGAAUAGCUCAACCCACCCAGCCCAACACUCCACAGUUGCAGCCUUGCUGCUCAGUUAACAGUAAAUUGAGGCAAAGCCUCCAGUAUGUGGACAAGCCACUUUCAGUACUUCCUCCGUCAAUAUCCCAGUCCCAUGCAUCAGAUAAUAACAACAUGGCAUGCAGUAAAUAACAACAGUCAAACAUGCAUUUAGGUAAAUUUAACCCUAGGGGUAUUUCGGUAAUUUAUCUCUUAGGGGUAAAACUGUAAAUUUUCCACUUUUAAAGGUAUUUCAGUAAUUUAUCUAUUUUAGGAUUUUUCAUGCAUAUUCCUACUUUUCUCGUACUAACAGAAUCACGUACCGAGGGUUCUUACCGAAUUGGGCCCGUUGGCCCAUCAUUCCAAUUUUGGCCCAUUAAGCCCAAAAAUAUCGAGGGCACAGAAAUCAUGCACUUUGCAGUUCAAAUUUUACAGCUUACCAAAAACAUUAAUCGAUUUCCUCACGAGCAUUCGCACUCUCGCAAAUCUACAAAAUACCUGUUUUUGGCAUUUCGGCUUUUCGGCUUUUGCCGAUCUAGACUAAGAAAGAGGGUGUUAGUUACACACCUGUUUGCGACGAUAUGCUGACGAGAUCCACACACGAACCGCCUACAAUUGGAUUACUAACACGUUAAUCUAACUAUUCAAAUAAAAACUACGUAUUAACCCCUUACAAUAUUCGGCCAACCACACCUACAGAUCAUAGUAAGCUUAUAAGAAAUCAAUAAGCAACUCAUUAACAAAUUUUUGUCAAUGUUUACCACAUAAUCAUAAUUUCACUGCAAGCUGUCUUCCUGAGCAACAAUCACUAAAUCAUUUAUAACUGGAGCUACGAAACUCCAAAUCAAGUGCCGUUAAUUUUCCCUGAAAAUAGACUCAUAUAUCUUAUAUCCAUAAAAUUUUCAGAAUUUUUGGUUUGGCCAAUCAAUACCAGAUUUUUUCUUAAGGUUUCCCAUGUUUCACUAUUUGACUAAUCUGACCACUCUUCAUUAUGAAUCAAAUUUCUCAUUGUACAGAAUUCAAAAUAUGUUCUCGUUUAUUUCAUUUGAAACUAGACUCAUUAAUAUUUAAUUACAUAAUUUAUUCACCUUCUAACUCAUCUCUCACAAUUUAUGGUGAUUUUCCAAAGUCACAUUACUGCUACUGUCCCAAGCAGAUUUAUUACCAAAUCACUCUUUCACACAUAACUUGCAUGCAUGUUAUUUAAACAUGUAUAUCACCAAUCAAUCAUCACAUAUCUAUGAUUUUACUUAAGUAUAAUCUCCAUUUCAUCAUUUUAAAGCACAACAUGUUAGCUGAUUUUUCCCUUUAACAUCUAAGGCACAUGCAUGCUUAUUUGUUUGGCUCAACUUCACCUAUCUUCCAUUUUUCAUCAAAAGAACAUGAAACAACAACCAUUUCCUUCAUUUUAAUUCAUGACUAAAUGCUCACAACACAACUAAAAACCAAAAUAUGCUUCAAGAGUUAAGGUAGAAUCAAGAAGAACUCAUGAACAUCAAGAUAGAAGCAAACUACCAUGAACUUACCUUCAAUUUUCUUCCCCAAGUGACCGAACAUUCAAGAGCUUUCUCCUCUCCUUUCUCUUCUCUAACUUUAGGCUAUGAUGAACAAAGAUGGACAAAACUUUGUUCUUUUCACCCCUUUUUCUUUUAAUAAAAUUUCAUAUUUCAUCCAUUUAAUUCUUUAAUACAAAAGACAUGAAAUGCCCAUCAUGGAACAUUUACCUAAACCAUUAUCAUGGAACAUUUACCUAACCCAUUAUCAUGGAAUAUUUACCUAAUCCAUUAUCAUGGAACAUUUACCUAACCCAUUAUCAUGGAAUAUUUACCUAAUCCAUUAUCAUGGAACAUUUACCUAACCCAUUAUCAAUUUGUACCAUGAAUUAUGGAUAUCAAGUGCUCAUAUUGUCUACAACAACAUGAUGGCUAGCCACUUCAUGUAAAAUGGGAGGUUUGUCAUGCAAAUCCUCCUAUUUUGCACUCCUAUUUAUUUGGCCAUUUCAAUUUAGCCUAUAGCAUUUUCAAACAUUUUCACAUAGGUCCUAUUUCAUAAUUUCACUCACAAAUGACAAAAUCAAAGCAUGAAAUUUUGCCAACAUUCACAGAAUUCCCGAAAAUUGGGGCGUUACAUACUCAGAAUCACAUAUAUUACAUACAAUGCCAUAUUCCAGAUAUGGUACCUUACAUGUUAUCACAUAUCAAUGCCUCUAUCCCAGAAAGGGUCUUACACAUAAUCUCAUAUCGAUACCAAUGUCCCAAACAUGGUCUUACAUGAAAUCACACCUCGGAAGUCCUAAUGUCAUGACAUUAAUAUCCUAUACUAUUCCUAAGGUUCAUACGAGGCUUUCAACUUUGUAACUCAAUCAAUUCAUGCUCGAAACAAGUCCUCCAAUGCUCAAUUCAAUUCAGAAACAUAUACAAAUAUAUAUUUAAAUUUAAAAACAUUUAUUUGCAUAUGAACUUACCUCGUACAGAAACGAACAUAUCAAAACAACUAUUCAACAACUUUCGACUUCCCCGAUCCAAAUCCGAUUUCUUUCUUUCUUGAUCUAAAUAAAUUCAAAUUUAACUUAUUUAAUCACAUAUUCAUUCAAUUUCACCCAAAAACAUAUAAAUGGGCAUUUUUCACUUUAGCCCCUAACAUUUCACAUUUUCACAAUUUAGUCCCUAUUUCAAAACAACACAAAAUACAAAAAAUUUCAUCAAACCCAAGCAUGGCCGAAUCUUUCCUAGGUCUUUAGCAGCCCAUUAAUUCUAUUUAUUUCACAUUUUAACCCCUCAAUUUACAAAUUUUACAAUUUAAUCCUUAAUAAGCAUUUUUAUAAAAAAUCACUUAAUAAACUAUGAAAAUCUAACAACAAAUAUUUAUUCUUCAUCAUCAAACAACAAAAAGCUUGAAUAUUCAUCAAUGGAAUUUGAAAAAUUCAUCAUCAAAUCCGAAAAUUAAAGCAUGGGCUAGCUAAUAUAUAAAUCAACGAUCUCAAAAAAGUAAAAAUUAUCAAAAACCGAGCAAAUAACAUACCUAAAUCAAGCUUCCUAGGCGCCGAACUUAAAAACUUCAACAAUGGUUUCUUUUCUUCUCACAUUCGG
rnacentral:lncRNA from 1 species